rnacentral:lncRNA from 1 species
AUAUUUUCUAUAAUUGCCAUACAUGAACUCGAGAAUUUUGCCAGAAUUUUGAAUAAUGUACCCAAGAAUCUGUUAAAAGUUGCCUUCCUACAACUCUAAGGAAGAGAAGGUUUUCCAUAUCUGGGUUUCUAAGAACUAAAUAAUUACCUGGAAAUUUUGGUUGAAGAUAAGCGCCUUGUCUUACAAAUGAGAAGGAAAAGAGAUGUUACCUAAAUAUCUUAAAUAUAAUAUAUUAAAAAAUAGAAGCUGUGUAUACAAAAGUUUUAAGUCAAGCAGAUAUUUGACACUUCUCUUGUGAAUUUUUUGCUUUAGGCAACCUAACUGGAAAAUUUCUGAAGGAAAACAUGAAUUUUGGUGAAAAAUUAUCUGAUUAUUCCACCCCUAUUAAUCCAAUUAAUCAAAACAUUGAAGAAGAAAAUUGUCCUCACGUUCCACUGGGUUGACAGCCUAGAUGGUGGUAUUCUGUGUGACGUCAAGUUUAGCCUAAAGCUGCCUCCUUACAUAUUUUAGGGUCAGCCUGAAGACCUCUCCACACUUAGUGACUGUCACCUAACUGGGCGUGCCAACAGACCUAACCCACCCUUGCCCCAAGCAGCCGCAUCUCAGCGGAUCACAGCAGCCAGGCGUCACCAUGCACCGUGGCCCGGUUCAAACUGUGUUUAAAUGAGGCCCACGCCAAGCGGUGCCCGUCUGGCUGUUUCUGUGCCUCCGUCCAGUUUUCUUGGCAUCACUGUCCUUUCUCUGUCCACAAAUCUAACCGGACCACGCGACAGCGACGGAGCCGCCCUGAGCCUAUGCUGGGUCCAGGGCUGCCCCAUUCACCAACAGUCAUUUGCUCAAUGAAGCUCUGUGACAUUCAGUUUGUCUGAAGUUUGUCUUUUAACAUUGGUGAUAGAGUGAGAAGUCUGUGAGGAGAAGGGAUAUGAGAUGUUCCAAAAUAUUAUUACAUCACAAGCAAACGGAUUUCUGAGUAAGAGGAUGGUUGGGGCAGGGUCAGGUGGGCCGCACUGGGUGAGUGUCUGGUGAGGAUGGGGGAAUAGGUGGGGCGGGGGCAGAGAGGAGGAGGCAGGAUGGAGGAGAGGGAGAAAGAGGAAGGGGGAGCCAGCAGCAGGGAGAGGGGAGACAGGAUUGUAUACAGAAAUGGAACAAAGCCACCAGCUUCUGCACUCUCCAGUGUGCCCAGGACCUGCCCGCUCCGAGUGGACCCGACAGCACGGGGGUGGCCUGACGCCGGCUGAGAUGCAGAAUCAGGCCUCUGAGCUACUGAGCUGGAAUCUGCCUUUUGGCCGGACCCGGUUGAUUGGAACCGCGUUCAUUUGAGGAAUGCUCCCUGCGACCAGAGCUCCACCAGGACACUCCUUCCCUCCGCCGGCCACGUUUGCAGGGAGCCCCUGAGAGGCAGCGGCAGCCCGGAUGCUGAAUCCCAUUCGCCCCGGUCAUUUCCGGAGCGUCUUCCAGCCCGUUCCCCGCCAUGACAGCGACGUGUGCUUUGAGCUCAGUCCACAGCAAAGACCACCUUGGUUCUUGUCCCGCCGCAACCACAUCCGAAGAAAGGGGUCAGGUAUUCUAGGCGUACGGGGACUGAUAAAUUCCAAAAAUAUGUUGCCUAGAAAAGAUUGUUAAAAAUAUAAAGGCAAGUUUUAUUCAUUAAUGUUCCCUUGCGCUGUCUGUGAAGAAAGGUAGGUUAAAGAGGUACUUCGAAGCAAAUCUGUACCAGGAAAAUAGAAUUUGUUUUCACAUCUUUUGAAAGAUAAGUGAAAUUCCUUCAGAGUCCACACCCAUGCUUUUAUAAACCUCUGAUACACUAACAAAUCCAAAGAAAAAUUGAAAACAAGCGAGAAAAAGGAGACAGAAAAUGCACAAGAUACACCGCCCUUUUUGUUUGUUUGUGAUUCAGGGCUCAGGAUUGACUGGGUCCUCGGGAGGGGACUCGAGGGCAGAAGGAUCUAUUAAUCUUACAACUAUGUGUUUCAUUUUCCAAGUGGUCAGUUUUUUAGGUUACUUUAUGAAAAACUGAAAUGGAACACAGAAUAUGAACAAUUUCUCAGGGUAAGAGCAGCUAGAUGUAAAAAUAACAUAAUGCAAUUAAAGAAGAAAUCUUCCAGCAAAUAGAACCCCAUUUCGGGGAUUUUCACCGUGGGCGUGAGGGUCACACAAGACUGAAGCCCGCCCAGGAGCAGGCGAGGUCACUGCAGGUGGUCAGUUACAGAGCUCUGCGUCAUAGCCCUCUGGCCCCAGACAAAAUUCACUCAUCUAUACAUUUGCUUGAAAAUGCAUUAUUUGAUAUUCAUUUUGUAUACUUAAAUACAAAAUGAAAUGUAACCUGAUAUUGAAAAUAAAAACUCCAGGCAACGUCUACAUUUCUAUGUAUUUAGUCUUUUCAAGGUCUACAUUUUAAAAGCAAGAAAUGAACAAAGUUAGGAAUACAUUAUUACUCUGGCAGGAAAAUUAGACGGAUUGAUGAAGUGGGUUCUGUCUAUUGUUAUUUAUCCUACUAGAAAUUAAACUAAAAAAACUUAAAAUGUUUUUAUUCUUUAAUUAAAAGCACAAUAGUAAAUCCAUUACAUGCCAACAUAAAUAACGUGUAAUGAAAAAUAAAUGUAAUUUUUGAACCAAACCAUCUUGACUGACAAGAGUGCUAUACUUUCUAUUGCAAAUCCAGUGUCUGACUUCCCGGAAGGCAGCCAGAGUCUGAGG